rnacentral:rRNA from 1 species
AUUGAACGCUGGCGGCAUGCCUUACACAUGCAAGUCGAACGGUAACGCGGGGCAACCUGGCGACGAGUGGCGAACGGGUGAGUAAUGCAUCGGAACGUGCCCAGUAGUGGGGGAUAGCCCGGCGAAAGCCGGAUUAAUACCGCAUACGACCUAAGGGUGAAAGCGGGGGAUCGCAAGACCUCGCGCUAUUGGAGCGGCCGAUGUCAGAUUAGGUUGUUGGUGGGGUAAAAGCCUACCAAGCCGACGAUCUGUAGCUGGUCUGAGAGGACGACCAGCCACACUGGGACUGAGACACGGCCCAGACUCCUACGGGAGGCAGCAGUGGGGAAUUUUGGACAAUGGGGGCAACCCUGAUCCAGCCAUGCCGCGUGCGGGAAGAAGGCCUUCGGGUUGUAAACCGCUUUUGUCAGGGAAGAAACGCUCUGGGCUAAUACCCUGGGGUAAUGACGGUACCUGAAGAAUAAGCACCGGCUAACUACAUGCCAGCAGCCGCCGUAAAAC